CCCCCGUCGGCCGGGCCCGCAGUCCAGAGUAGCCGGUUCUGCCGUCCUGGGGCGGGGGACGUUUUUUGGACAGUGGGGUAAACUGAGGCCCGAUAGGGGCGCUAGGCACUGCCCGGAGUCCGGCGCGCACGGAUUGAGGCGACCUGAUUCCGCCGCAUCCUGGCCCGCGCGGCGAGUGUGGUCUCUGGGCUCGGGACCCUGACCUCUGGCCCUGGGGGCCGUGCACCGGCAGCGCAGGAUUCAGCCUUCUUCCAACUGGCCCUGAGACCACUUUUGCGACUGACCCCCGGAGGUGGCCCCAAAUCCAAGCAUCCUUAUAAGAGAGAGACAGAGGGAGAUUUGAGAGACAGAAGAGGAGGAGGUGAUCUGAUUACAGAGGCGGAGACGGGUAAUGCCCAUGCGCCCGAGUUCCCCCGGCAGCCACUGGAAGCUGGAGAGGUGAGGAGUCGCCCCAGGAGGCCCUGAGGGAGCUGGAUUUUGGACUGCGGCCUCCAGAACUCCAGAGAGAAUGAAUGUCUGCUGUUCUCAGCACCCCUCCGUGGUCCUCUGUCACGGCAGCCGCGGGACCCUCACGCGCUGUCUGGGCCGUCCCUUCCAGCGUGUCGGGCGUUGUGUCCAGCACUGGGGACCGCCCACAGGCGUGACUUGAGCCCUGUUUCCAGCCUCUGCGCGGGGUUGCCCAGACGCCCCUCCAGGGCGUGACGCCACUGCCCCCUGGUGGCCGCGGCUGCCCAGACGCCCUCUCCUCGCAGACCCAGCACCGCCAGCACUUGGGAACCAGCUUUAUUUCUGAUUUUUUUUUUUUGUCAGAGUAUAAAAAAGUGAGUGCAGCAAAACAAGGAAGACGAGACAGGCGUGCGUGGGCCAGGGCAAGACAGAGGAGAAGGGAGGGAAGCAGAGGCAGAAGGGCCCCUUGGGCGAAGGCUGAUGGUGGGAGGCGGGCAGAAUACUUGCGCAGCCACACAGGGGCAGGGAUGAGGGUCUCCCCGUGGUGGGGGCUUACAGGAUGGGAGCGGCCAGGCCAGUUGUCCAAAUUCCACCUGGGACCUGCAGUGACCAGCCUCGAGUCUGGAGGCUCAAAGCACACAGAGGGGACUAGGGGCUCAGCCUCAUCUGUCCCUGAGAUUUUCAGAAGCCACAGGGGGACUGGGAGAGGGCAGAGGCGCAAGAGGGUGGAGGCGGCUAGGGCCGCCCUCACUGUCCUUCCGCCAGGCAGCACCAGCCCCAAACCACCCAGAGAGGGGUUGCUCAGGCCUCUGGGAGGGUGUAAGGGGAGUGGCCCUGGGAAGGCCUCUCCCCUGAAUCCAGGCCUUCUUGGGAAAGCAGCAAUGGGAAGGCCCACGCACAAGGCCCUUGUUCUUGAGGGCGAGGGGGGAAGACCAUAAAAGCAAGAUUUUCCCAAAGAUAGGGCAGGGAGCACUGCUAAGCCUGGGCCCUGGGCGCGGAGCCACCUGGACAGGGCUGGGGUUCUCGUUGUGCCACAUUUUGUCUCUGGCGCUUGGUCAAUCUGGUCCUUUCUCAGCUUUACUUCUCAUGAAUAGAGGGGGUGUGGUGACGAUGUAUAAAUAAUGAUGAAAGUGCUUGGCAUGGUGCCCGUUAGGCGGGUGCUGAUGGCCACUACUCUAGAUGAUGGGUUGGCCUGCUGGGCCCUGGCAGGUGCAUGGGCACAAGCCACAGGGAGCCGAGGCAGCUUAUGGUACCUGUGUGGGCCAACCUGGAGGUGCUGGGGAACGACCUAGAACUGGGCUGGGUGGGUGGACAGACAAGUGACUCAGCAGGCGAUGGGGGACCGACAUCACGUGGAGAGGGGAAUGUAAAUAAACAGACUCCCUGGGAGUCUAGGGGGGACAUCCAAACCGGUUCUGGCUCCAGGCAGCUGCCCCACAUGCUGCCAGCUGCACCAGGGGAGGGCUUGGGCUCAGGUCCCAGGAGGUGGGGCCACACUCAAGCAGCCCCCUACCCACCCAGCCCCAGGGCACGACCUGGAAUGUCCAACCAGAGGCGCCUGGAGGUGUGAUCCUGGUCCUGUCUGUCCGUUGGGCCAGCCUGGCCGCCCCGGCAUCCCGCAGGGUCCAAGAGGCGCUGCGGGGCCAGCUUGGCCUCCUCCCUAGCCGUGGACUCCCAUCACAGUGCUGGGGUCUGGGUUCAAGCCUCAGCAGCAGCUAGGACAUUUUCCCGAAGGAAGCUGUGUGAUGGAAGAGGGUGAGAAUGGGGUGGGGUCUUUGGCAUCAUCUGCAUUAGGGCGCUUACUGGGGCCUGCAGCCGACCUCCUGAGGUCAUCCCACCCCACACUCAGAGGGGCUUCUCCAUCAGCCCCCAGGCCUCUCUGGCACCUCACACUGACCUUGGCUGAGCAGCUGCAGGCUCCGCCCCUCCUCACGCACCUGCAGGCGGAGCACCUGCUGCAGCACCUCCUGCCUCUGGGCCUCCUGGGCCAGCCCCAUCCGCUGCAGCUUCUCCGCAUUCAGCCGCAGCAGUGCCCGGCCUGGGGAGAGGAAAGAGGGGCUGAGCUGAGGCCAACAGAGGCAUCAAGAGCCAAGGCAAGGCUGGUGCCAUGGCUCAUGCCUGUGAUCCCAGCACUUUGG
rnacentral:lncRNA from 10 species